rnacentral:lncRNA from 1 species
AUGGAAGCUGAGUGGAUUGGUCACCCUGAACACAUUUGCCUUGGGUAUCCAGUGAGUCAACUUCUGGAAGCUGGCUUGCCUAUGGAUGGACAGGAAUUUGACAAUGGAUGAUAAAAGAGGGAGAUAAUCUGGUUUUGUUCCAGUGUUCAUCAGAUACUUCUGGAGCAACUCUUACGUUCCAUGUUCUAUUCUGAGUAUUGGACAGAGAGACACAAACUCGCUGACGGAACCCCG